CGCCCGUCACACCAUGGGAGCUGGUAAUACCCAAAGUCGGUUUGCUAACCUCGGAGGCGACUGCCUAAGGUAGGACUGGUGACUGGGGUGAAGUCGUAACAAGGUAUCCCUACGAGAACGUGGGGAUGGAUCACCUCCUUUCUACGGAGUACAUUAACCAAAACGUUAUGGAAAAAUAUCGUAUCCAGUUUUGAGGGAACUUUUCUCUCAAAUUUUGUUCUUUGAAAACUGAAUAAGACAUUGAAAUUAAUAUUUCAAAGUUUAGAUCAACCUAUAGAAUAUUUAAAGACAAAUAAUAGGUCUCAUACAAAAAUAAUAACUAUUAAACAAGAUAAGAGUUUUUGGUGGAUGCCUUGGGUCUGGAAGUCGAAGAAGGACGUGAUUACCUGCGAUAAGCCUCGUUUAGCCGGAAAUAGGCAACUAGACGGGGAUUUCCGAAUGGGGAAACCUAAUGGAGCUAAUCCUCCAUUGCCAUAGUCAGUGAAUCCAUAGCUGAAUGGCGAGACACGAUGUGAAUUGAAACAUCUCAGUAGCAUCAGGAAGAGAAAAUAAAGAAUGAUUCCCUCAGUAGUGGCGAGCGAACGGGGAAGAGCCUAAACCAGCACUCGUUGCUGGGGUUGUAGGACUGUCUAUUAAAAGUUACAAAAUUUACAUAUAGCAGAAUAAGUUGGAACGCUUAAACAUAGAGGGUGAAAUUCCCGUAAGCGAAAUGUGUAAAUCUUUUGGCAGUAUCCUGAGUAGGGCGGGGCACGUGAAACCCUGUCUGAAUCUGCCGGGACCACCCGGUAAGGCUAAAUACUAACCAGACACCGAUAGUGAACUA
rnacentral:sRNA from 2 species